UGGGUUAAGUCCCGCAACGAGCGCAACCCUUAUCCUUUGUUGCCAGCGGUCCGGCCGGGAACUCAAAGGAGACUGCCAGUGAUAAACUGGAGGAAGGUGGGGAUGACGUCAAGUCAUCAUGGCCCUUACGACCAGGGCUACACACGUGCUACAAUGGCGCAUACAAAGAGAAGCGACCUCGCGAGAGCAAGCGGACCUCAUAAAGUGCGUCGUAGUCCGGAUUGGAGUCUGCAACUCGACUCCAUGAAGUCGGAAUCGCUAGUAAUCGUGGAUCAGAAUGCCACGGUGAAUACGUUCCCGGGCCUUGUACACACCGCCCGUCACACCAUGGGAGUGGGUUGCAAAAGAAGUAGGUAGCUUAACCUUCGGGAGGGCGCUUACCACUUUGUGAUUCAUGACUGGGGUGAAGUCG
rnacentral:rRNA from 1 species